GUCCUCGAGAAAUGCAGAGCCUGUAAAUCUAUAUCCUGGCCGACCAUCUUCAACAGUGGAUUCGCCUUAUGAAUUUUUAGAAGCACAACUUUUUUGAAGCUUGGAGAAUAGUUCAUCUUCAUUUACUGUAAUUUUUCGGCACUGAUCCAUUCCCUGUGGUGCAGGGAGUUUCAGGUAUGUCCUUUCUGAGGAUAUGUGUAUCUUCUCAAUAAAGAGAGAAUUGGAGGCAAACCUGACAGCUCAGAGUGGUGUAGGGAGUUUCAGGUAUCUUCUCAAUGAAGAGAGAAUUGGAGGCAAACCUGACAGCUCAGAGGUAUUUGAAUUGAUACUGUUCUUGCAUUCAUAGGAGGAAUGAUGGAGGGAGCGUUAUGUUACCUAUUUUUUAUGCUGUAAUUUGCCAAAGGGUGGGUCAGUGGACAUUGUCAAGCUAAUAGUUCAUAUAUUUUCUUGAGAUUUCAGUUUCAUUGUGUUUGAUUCAUAGUUAUUAUUGAAGGAUGUGAUUGACUAUUGACUGGAAAUGAAUCACUUAGCACUGUAGUGUUGUGUUAGCCUUAGCAAGGAAGAAUAUUUUGGUUCAGUUACAAUUAGAUACUCUCACUUUAGAUAAAAUGGAAAUGGCUAGCUUAAAAGAAGUUUUUAAGUGGUGGAUGCUGGUCAUCCAGCCGACUCUCGUAUUUUACGCACCUUAGAAGUUAGAAGACAAUUUUAAUCUGCAAUUCAAAAUAAGAUAUUCCCAAAGUUCAAUUGAUCUCCAUUUUUGAUUUUUACUGCUUUGACUAGAUUUAUGAAGAGUGGGGUCCUCUUCCGCUUUUGAGUCCUUUUCUGGGGAGUGAUAUG